rnacentral:rRNA from 1 species
UACGUAGGCGACGAGCGUUGUCCGGAGUUACUGGGCGUAAAGGGUGCGCAGGUGGCGGCGCGCGUGGGGGGUGAAAUCGCCCGGCUUAACUGGGCGGGGGCCUUCCAGACGGCGUGGCUUGGGCAGCGGAGGGGGACGUGGAAUUCCGGGUGGAGCGGUGAAAUGCGUAGAGAUCCGGAGGAACACCGACGGCGCAGGCAGCGUCCUUGCCGCUUGCUGACACUGAGGCACUAAAGCUGGGGGAGCAAACAGG